UUUCUGCGGUUUGUCAGAGAUCAGCUGUGAUUCUCUGGUCUCAGCUCUGAAGUCCAACCCGUCACAUUUGACAGAACUGGACCUGAGUGAGAACAAGCUGCAGGAUUCAGGAGUGAAGCAUCUGUGUGGUUUUCUGGAGAGUCGUCACUGUCGACUGGAGACUCUGAGAUUAAGUAGCUGCAGUUUGUCAGAGAUCAGCUGUGAUUCUCUGGUCUCAGCUCUGAAGUCCAACCAGUCACAUUUGACAAAACUGGACCUGAGUGACAACAAGCUGCAGGAUUCAGGAGUGAAGCAUCUGUGUGGUUUUCUGGAGAGUCGUCACUGUCGACUGGAGACUCUGAGAUUAUUAAAGUGUAUUAAACCUUGAAUCUACAUGGUCUCAGAAGAUGAAGCCUCAUCCAGGUGAAU